rnacentral:rRNA from 1 species
AUGCUAACGGAAGGAGGCGUGGGCUGCGCCCACUCAGCCGUUCCGUAUUCGCCGGCAGUGACGCCGUUAGGUCUGACGGAGGGCCCCGAUGGCUCCGAAAGCACCACCGUGCCGAGCGUCGGAUCCACGUCCCGGAAGCGCCGGCUGCUGCGGCUGUCACAAGCGGCGCGGCGGUGCUCGAGCAGAGUGUCCGGAUCGGCGUCGCGCUGGCGCCUCCAACCAUCGUCGGCGAACGGCGAUCCCACGCGUCCAGGGGCAUGGGAGCUCCUCGUCAGGCCGUCCGUCAAGGUCGUCGUCGUCGUUGCCACCCGGCACCCGGUGGCCCAAGCCACCGUGCUUCCUCAGCCGGGCGAGGGGGGAAGUGUGUGA